UGGAGAAAAGCAGGGGAUCGUAAGACCUUGCGCUUUUGGAGCGGCCGAUGUCUGAUUAGCUAGUUGGUGGGGUAAUGGCCUACCAAAGCUUCGAUCAGUAGCUGGUCUGAGAGGACGGCCAGCCACACUGGGACUGAGACACGGCCCAGACUCCUACGGGAGGCAGCAGUGGGGAAUUUUGGACAAUGGGCGCAAGCCUGAUCCAGCCAUGCCGCGUGAGUGAAGAAGGCCUUCGGGUUGUAAAGCUCUUUCAGCCGGGAAGAAAAGGCUGCGAUUAAUAAUCGCAGUUCAUGACGGUACCGGAAGAAGAAGCACCGGCUAACUACGUGCCAGCAGCCGCGGUAAUACGUAGGGUGCGAGCGUUAAUCGGAAUUACUGGGCGUAAAGGGUGCGCAGGCGGUUUUGUAAGUCAGAUGUGA
rnacentral:rRNA from 1 species